AAUAGCUGAUAAAGCCGUCGCUGCCAAAAACACAGUAGCUUCCAAGCUCGGAUAUGGUGCCGACACCGAAACAACUCAAACAAACACAAGCAGCGAAAGACCAUCAACAAUCUCUUCAGCAACCUCUGCAAUAGCUGAUAAAGCUGUCACUGCCAAGAAUACUGUUGCUUCAAAGCUUGGAUAUGGUCCUGAAACAACACACCAAGAAGAAAAGCAAUCGGCAAUCUCUUCGGCAACCUCUGCAAUAGCUGACAAAGCUGUCACUGCCAAAAACACCGUAGCUUCAAAGCUCGGAUAUGGUCCUAAAACAACUCAUCGGGAAGAGGAAAAACCAUCGACAAUUUCUGCGGCAACCUCUGCAAUAGCUGAUAAAGCUGUCAAUGCCAAAAACACCGUAGCUUCAAAGCUCGGAUAUGGUCCUGAAACAACUCGUCGGGAAGAAGAAAAACAGUCAACAAUCUCUGCGGCAACCUCUGCAAUAGCUGAUAAAGCUGUCACUGCCAAAAACACCGUAGCUUCAAAGCUCGGAUAUGGUCCUGAAACGACUCAACGGGAAGAACAAAAACCAUCCGCAAUCUCUUCAGCAACCUCGGCCAUAGCUGACACAGCUGUCUCAGCCAAAAACACCGUUGCCUCCAAGCUCGGGUAUGGUGCUGACACUGAAACAGUUCAAGCAAAGCAUCACGAAGAAAAACCAUCAACAGUCUCUGCAGCCACCUCUGCGAUAGCUAAUAAAGCUGCCUCAGCCAAGAACACAGUAGCUUCAAAGCUCGGAUACGGUGCCAACACAGAAACAACACAAACAAAGAACUACCAAGAAAAUACAAGCAAUGAACAGCCAUCAACAAUUUCUUUAGCAACCUCAGCAGUAGCUGAUAAAGCUAUCUCAGCCAAAAACACCGUAGCUUCCAAGCUGGGUUUCGGUGACACAACAACAGCACAU
rnacentral:lncRNA from 1 species